GAUGAAGAACGUAGCGAAAUGCGAUAAGUAAUGUGAAUUGCAGAAUUCAGUGAAUCAUCGAAUCUUUGAACGCACCUUGCGCUCCCUGGUAUUCCGGGGAGCACGCCUGUUCGAGUGUCGCGAAAUUCUUCAAGCCUUGGAUGGAUUUUGUUUGUCUGUCCUUGGGCUUGGUUGUUGGGCUCUGCCGUGUCCUUCAUUGGGACGGCUGGCCUUAAAAGCAUUAGCCGAUCCUCGUGUGGUACUGGUUCUACUCAGCGUGAUAACAAUCUGAUCGUUGAGGACAUCUUCUGGAUGGCCAGUCAUCAUUUGGGUUGCUUCUAAACCGGUUUCGCAGAUUGCUCAAUCUGUGUGCCACUUUUCAGCUUUGACCUCGAAUCAGGUGGGACUACCCGCUGAACUUAAGCAUAUCAAUAAGCGGAGGA
rnacentral:misc_RNA from 1 species